GUCACGGCUAACUACGUGCCAGCAGCCGCGGUAAUACGUAGGUGGCAAGCGUUAUCCGGAUUUAUUGGGCGUAAAGAGAGUGCAGGCGGUUUUCUUAAGUCUGAUGUGAAAGACCUUCGGCUUAACCGGAGAAGUGCAUCGGAAACUAGGAUAACUUGAGUGCAGAAGAGGGUAGGUGGAACUCCCAUGUGUAGCGGUGGAAUGCGUAGAUAUAUGGAAGAACACCAGUGGCGAAGGCGGCUACCUGGUCUGCAACUGACGCUGAGACUCGAAAGCAUGGGUAGCGAACAGGAUUAGAUACCCUGGUAG
rnacentral:rRNA from 1 species